rnacentral:lncRNA from 1 species
UGAUCUCUUCACAAUCUUACAGCGUCGGCUAGGGUUCCAUAACCUAACCAGAAAAGUCACAACUUUCUGUUUCCGAUCACCAUGAGGGCCAAGUGGAAGAAGAAGAGAAUGAGGAGGUUGAAGAGGAAGCGCCGAAAGAUGAGGCAGAGAUCUAAGUAAUCUGUUUGUCGGGAAUAAUAUGGUACCAGUAAUCGUCAGUUUAUGUUUUGUGUUUUCUGUUUGAAGUAUGAUGUUUGAACUUAUCGUAACGUUGUAGGUUUUCUGUUGGAUUGAGUUUUGUGACUUUUAUGUUAUGAAUUUAGCUAAAAUGUUAUGAUCUUGCAUAUUUGGUUUGGUUUUUUCUUGUUUGUGGUUUGUGGGUGUUAUGAAUUUUAUGUUUUUAUCAUUUAGAUCGUGAAUCUAAAUUUUGGAUUUGUG